rnacentral:rRNA from 1 species
UACGAAGGGGGCUAGCGUUGCUCGGAAUCACUGGGCGUAAAGGGUGCGUAGGCGGGUCUUUAAGUCAGGGGUGAAAUCCUGGAGCUCAACUCCAGAACUGCCUUUGAUACUGAAGAUCUUGAGUUCGGGAGAGGUGAGUGGAACUGCGAGUGUAGAGGUGAAAUUCGUAGAUAUUCGCAAGAACACCAGUGGCGAAGGCGGCUCACUGGCCCGAGACCGACGCUGAGGCACGAAAGCGUGGGGAGCAAACAGG